rnacentral:rRNA from 1 species
UGGCGAACGGGUGAGUAACACGUGAGUAACCUGUCCCCUUCUUUGGGAUAACGCCCGGAAACGGGUGCUAAUACUGGAUAUUCACUGGUCUUCGCAUGGGGGUUGGUGGAAAGGUUUUUUCUGGUGGGGGAUGGGCUCGCGGCCUAUCAGCUUGUUGGUGGGGUGAUGGCCUACCAAGGCUUUGACGGGUUGCCGGCCUGAGAGGGUGACCGGUCACAUUGGGACUGAGAUACGGCCCAGACUCCUACGGGAGGCAGCAGUGGGGAAUAUUGCACAAUGGGCGAAAGCCUGAUGCAGCGACGCCGCGUGAGGGAUGGAGGCCUUCGGGUUGUAAACCUCUUUCGCUCAUGGUCAAGCCGCAACAUUGGUUGUGGUGAGGGUAGGGGGUAAAGAAGCGCCGGCUAACUACGUGCCAGCAGCCGCGGUAAUACGUAGGGCGCGAGCGUUGUCCGGAAUUAUUGGGCGUAAAGGGCUUGUAGGCGGUUGGUCGCGUCUGCCGUGAAAUCCUCUGGCUUAACUGGGGGCGUGCGGUGGGUACGGGCUGACUUGAGUGCGGUAGGGGAGACUGGAACUCCUGGUGUAGCGGUGGAAUGCGCAGAUAUCAGGAAGAACACCGGUGGCGAAGGCGGGUCUCUGGGCCGUUACUGACGCUGAGGA